rnacentral:rRNA from 1 species
CUCGUAGGUGGCCAACUAAAGUCAGACGUGAAAUCCCUCGGCUUAACCGGGGAACUGCGUCUGAUACUGGAUGGCUUGAGGUUGGGGAGAGGGAUGCGGAAUUCCAGGUGUAGCGGUGAAAUGCGUAGAUAUCUGGAGGAACACCGGUGGCGAAGGCGGCAUCCUGGACCAAUUCUGACGCUGAGGAGCGAAAGCCAGGGGAGCAAACG